rnacentral:rRNA from 1 species
GAUGAACGCUGGCGGCGUGCCUAAUACAUGCAAGUCGAACGAUCGACUUCGGUCGAUAGUGGCGAACGGGUGAGUAACGCGUUGGUGACCUGCCCCGAAGAGAGGGAUAACAGGCCGAAAGGCCUGCUAAUACCGCAUAAGCUAGCCAUGGAUUAGGAAGUGGUUAGGAAAAGGAGCAAUCCGCUUUGGGAGGGGCCUGCGUCCCAUCAGCUAGUUGGUAAGGUAACGGCUUACCAAGGCGAUGACGGGUAGGGGGCCUGAGAGGGUGAACCCCCACAAUGGAACUGAAACACGGUCCAUACACCUACGGGUGGCAG